UACGUAGGGCGCAAGCGUUGUCCGGAAUUAUUGGGCGUAAAGAGCUCGUAGGCGGCUUGUCACGUCGAUUGUGAAAGCCCGAGGCUUAACCUCGGGUCUGCAGUCGAUACGGGCUAGCUAGAGUGCGGAAGGGGCAACUGGAAUUCUCGGUGUAGCGGUGAAAUGCGUAGAUAUCGAGAGGAACACCUGCGGCGAAGGCGGGUUGCUGGGCCGACACUGACGCUGAUGCGCGAAAGCCAGGGGAGCGAACGGG
rnacentral:rRNA from 1 species